rnacentral:rRNA from 1 species
GGAGUUAGGAAAUGUAAGUGCGCUAAUAUCGCAUUUAUUUGACAAAGGCUCCAAAGGAAGCCACGGCUAACUCUGUGCCAGCAGCCGCGGUAAUACAGAGGUGGCGAGCGUUGUUCGGAAUUAUUGGGCGUAAAGAGCACGUAGGUGGGUUUGCAAGUCAGAUGUGAAAGCCUUCUGUUCAACGGAAGAAUUGCAUCUGAAACUACAAACCUUGAGUAUAGGAGGGGAGAGUGGAACUUCUG